rnacentral:rRNA from 1 species
CGCAAGCCUGACGCAGCGACGCCGCGUGAACGAUGCAGGCCAUAGAUGUUGUAAAGUUCUUUCCUGCUUGAAGAAUAACGUGGAAGAGGGAAUGCUUCCAUGAUGACGUUAGACAGCGAAUAAGCCACGGCUAAUUACGUGCCAGCAGCCGCGGUAACACGUAAGUGGCGAGCGUUGUUCGGAUUCAUUGGGCGUAAAGGGCGUGUAGGCGGCGUAUCAAGCUUGGUGUGAAAUAUUUCGGCUUAACCGAAAAGACGCGCUGAGAACUGAUAUGCUAGAGUUCAAGAGGGGGAGUUAGAAUUCCAGGUGUAGGGGUGAAAUCUGUAGAUAUCUGGAAGAAUACCGGUGGCGAAGGCGAACUCUUGGCAAUGAACUGACGCUGAGGCGCGAAAGCGUGGGUAGCGAACAGGAUUAGAUACCCUGGUAGUCCACGCUGUAAACGAUGUGCACUAAGUGUUGGGGGGUUUACCUCCAGUGCUGAAGCGAACGUGAUAA